GGAAGUCGAGUCGAGCCACUGAGAACGAUUCGCACUUCAUUUCAAUAUGGAUAUGGAUACAGCCUGGAAAAUGCCAACCAAGCAAUCUCACGAAGCGUGAUAAGCAAAGAAAACCCAUUGCCGAUGAUAUCCCUUCUCCCCAUCCAUUCUCUUCACUCAUUUUUCUUUUUUUCCUUCUUCAUUUAUAUCGCAUGGACGUUUGGGCCAGCAGGGGAGGGGAAGCUUCGGCUCACAUAUUCGAAGUCAUUCACCCGCCGUUCACUCCAUUUCUCCGCCCAACUUUUGCAAUAUAUUUGAAUUGCGUUUGUGUGUUGCGAAGAUGACCGCCGUGCAACCCAAUUGUUAUGCCGCCAUCCAUUAUACACACAGAGCCCAGAGCUAGCUAGUGCCAUACAUAUA